rnacentral:lncRNA from 1 species
GGAAGGGUGGCCUUAAAACACCUCAGAAGCCACCCUGGUUGGUGCAGCACGUGAUGGAUGCGUGCGGCUCAGCUGAGCGGGCAUGGACCCGCCUGCCUGCACCAGUGGCGCCUCGGGCCAGCCUGGGGGCGAUGGGCAGCUCAGCACAGCUCUUCAUUAGAAGCUCCUGACCUCAGAAUUAGGCACCAGUGACUUUCCGUUUUAGAAAGUCUCCCGGGGUUUGCUGCUUCGCUCUUACGUGUGCUUUGCAUGUGUUGCUUCUGUGUGCUUUGUUUACCGUGUUG